GGGGUUGUGGCUCAGUGGAAGAGCGCUUGCCUCACACAUGUGAAGUACUGGGUUCGAUCCUCAGCACCACCU
rfam:Ictidomys tridecemlineatus contig005105, whole genome shotgun sequence.